AACCCGUAAAUCCGAACUUGUG
rnacentral:miRNA from 11 species